CUCCUACGGGUGGCAGCAGUGGGGAAUCUUGCACAAUGGACGAAAGUCUGAUGCAGCGACGCCGCGUGAGCGAUGAAGCCCUUCGGGGUGUAAAGCUCUUUCGACAGGAACGAUAAUGACGGUACCUGGAGAAGAAGCUGCGGCUAACUACGUGCCAGCAGCCGCGGUAAUACGUAGGCAGCAAGCGUUGUUCGGAAUUACUGGGCGUAAAGCGUGCGUAGGCGGUGCUUCAAGUUUGGUGUGAAAUCUCCCGGCUCAACCGGGAGGGUGCGCCGAAAACUGAGGCGCUCGAGUGUGGGAGAGGUAGGCGGAAUUCCUGGUGUAGCGGUGAAAUGCGUAGAUAUCAGGAGGAGCACCGGCGGUGUAGACGGCUUACUGGACCAUUACUGACGCUGAGGCACGAAAGUGUGGGGAGCAAACAGGAUUAGAUACCCUGGUAGUCCACACCCUAAACGAUGCAUACUUGGUGUGAGCCAUUCAUUUGGUUCGUGCCGGAGCUAACGCGUUAAGUAUGCC
rnacentral:rRNA from 1 species